UACGAAGGGGGCUAGCGUUGUUCGGAUUUACUGGGCGUAAAGCGCACGUAGGCGGAUCUUUAAGUCAGAGGUGAAAUCCCAAGGCUCAACCUUGGAACUGCCUUUGAUACUGGGGAUCUUGAGUCCGGGAGAGGUGAGUGGAACUGCGAGUGUAGAGGUGAAAUUCGUAGAUAUUCGCAAGAACACCAGUGGCGAAGGCGGCUCACUGGCCCGGUACUGACGCUCAUGCACGAAAGCGUGGGGAGCAAACAGG
rnacentral:rRNA from 1 species